GAGAGUUGGUCUAGAGGUUGCGGAAUCAUUUGAUCAAUGAUUGCGAGGAAAGUCCGAACUCCCGAAAGACCACACUUGCUGGAUAACGUCCAGUGCGCGCGAGCGUGAGGAUAGUGCCACAGAAAAAUACCGCCCCUUUUUUCAGUGAUUAGUAAACAGUGAUCAGUAAACAGUAACGAAAGUAAAUUCACUGAUAACUGAUAACUUUCCACUGAUAACUUUCCACUGAUAACUGAUAACUGAUAACUGAUAACUGAUUGGGGGUAAGGGUGCAAAGGUGCGGUAAGAGCGCACCAGCAGUAUCGAGAGGUACUGGCUCGGUAAACCCCGGUGGGGAGCAAGGUGGAGGGACAAAGGUUGGUCUUUUUCCUGUCCCGUUCUUAGGAACCGCUUGAGGUAAUUGGUGACAAUUAUCCCAGAUAGAUAACCUCUAUUCCAACAAAGGUAAAAGCGAUUUUACUGCUGUUGGGAAAUACAGAAUUCGGCUUAUGUCUGACUCUCUCCUUU
rnacentral:RNase_P_RNA from 1 species